ACACUUGCCAUUUUAAACCACAGUUGUUGUCUACUCUUCAAGCAGUGUAGCAGAUACGAUUUUUGUCAUGAAACUGGCUACCGUAUUUUUUAUUGUUAGUUACUUCCUUAUAUGCUGCACCGAUCUCUGCAGCAGCCGUUCGAUACCGCCAUGUGGAUGCCCCUCCACCACUACACGAUCAGAUUGUUUAAGUAGAACCACCACGAAAGGAUCACUUUGUCCCACACAACCAGCCCAACCAACUCAACCGACGCAACCAACUCAACCGACACAGCCAACUCAACCAACUCAACCGACACAACCAACUCAACCAACUCAACCGACUCAACCGACUCAGCCAACUCAACCAACUCAACGGAGACGCAGACAACUAACCCAACCAACUCAACCAACACAACCGACACAACCAACUCAGCCAACUCAACCGACACAACCAACCCAACCAACUCAGCCAACGCAACCGACACAACCGACACAACCAACUCAACCAACUCAACCAACACAACCAACUCAACCAACUCAAC